GUCAGGAUGGCUGAGUGGUCUAAGGCGCUGCGUUCAGGUUGGAGGCGUGGGUUCAAAUCCCACUCCUGACA